GCCGAUGUGGCGGAAUGGCAGACGCAUCGCACUCAAAAUGCGACGGAUUCACGUCCAUGCCGGUUCAAGUCCGGCCAUCGGUACCA
rnacentral:tRNA from 1 species